GACGAACGCUGGCGGCGUGCUUAACACAUGCAAGUCGAACGGAAAGGCCCUGCUUUUGUGGGGUGCUCGAGUGGCGAACGGGUGAGUAACACGUGAGUAACCUGCCCCUGACUGUGGGGUAACUUCAGGAAACUCGGGCUAUUACCGGAUAGGAGCUCCUGCUGCGUGGUGGGGGUUGGAGAGAUUCGGCGGUUGGGGAUGGACUCGCGGCUUAUCAGCUUGUUGGUGGGGUUGUGGCUUACCAAGGCUUUGACGGGUAGCCGGCCUGAGAGGGUGACCGGCCACAUUGGGACUGAGAUACGGCCCAGACUCCUACGGGAGGCAGCAGUGGGGAAUAUUGCACAAUGGGCGGAAGCCUGAUGCAGCAACGCCGCGUGCGGGAUGACGGCCUUCGGGUUGUAAACCGCUUUCGCCUGUGACGAAGCGUGAGUGACGGUAAUGGGUAAAGAAGCACCGGCUAACUACGUG
rnacentral:rRNA from 1 species